rnacentral:lncRNA from 1 species
UGGUAACAUAUGUUGUAGUAUUGUUUGUAUUUUUUAAGGUUAGAUUUUGGAAGCUUAACAUUUUUGAAAAAUUAAAAUUUAACCUAUAUAUGUCUAGUUUCGUGUAUAUUAAACAAUUUCAAAAUAUAUUUUAAGUUUAGUGAAGUGUUCUUUUAUUUAGUUAGUUAUUUCAGUUUAGUGUAUAAAUUUAGGGUCUAUAAGACUUCUUCUGGGCGAGUAGUAUAUUUAGAGGUAGAAGACUUCUUUAAAAGUCUUCUGAAUCGAAAAUAUGUAACGUAAAUGAAAUUUUUUUAUCUCCAUAUAUAAGGAAAAUGUACAUAUUCUCUAUUUUCCUCUCAAAUGGCUGCAACAAAAAUGUAAUGAUUCCCAAUAAAACUCUCAAACCUCUCUCUAAUCUCUUUGAACUUGAAAACAUCAAAUCUUAUAUGAAUUUUUCAUUUUUUUUUGUUUCAUCUCACUAAUUUAUCUUGUUUUUGCAGAUUUUAUAUCAUAUGGUUCUCAUCUUCCACUUCUUUAAACAUAAAUCUAUAAAUUUUGGAUAUCUAUUUUUUUU